rnacentral:tRNA from 1 species
GCGAAAAUAACUCAAUAGGUAGAGUCUAAUCUUGCCAAGAUUAUGGUUGAGGGUUCAAAUCCCUUUUUUCGCU